CCUACGGGUGGCAGCAGUGAGGAAUAUUGGUCAAUGGGCGCGAGCCUGAACCAGCCAAGUCGCGUGAGGGAAGACGGCCCUACGGGUUGUAAACCUCUUUUGCCGGGGAGCAACGGGCGCCACGUGUGGCGCCACUGAGGGUACCCGGAGAAAAAGCAUCGGCUAACUCCGUGCCAGCACCCGCGUUAAUACGGGUGAUGCGAGGUUUAUCCGGUUUUGUUGGGGUUAAGGGGUGCGUAGUGGGAGCGUUAAGUCAGUGGGAAAAGCGAGGGGCUCACCCCCUUCCCGCCAUUGAAACUGGCGCUCUUGAGUGGAAGAGAGGUAUGCGGAAUGCGUGGUGUAGCGGUGAAAUGCAUAGAGAUCACGCAGAACCCCGAUUGCGAAGGCAGCAUGCCGGCUUCCGACUGACGCUGAAGCACGAAAGCGUGGGGAUCGAACAGGAUUAGAUACCCUAGUAGUC
rnacentral:rRNA from 1 species